GACGAACGCUGGCGGCGUGCUUAACACAUGCAAGUCGAACGGAAAGGCUCCAGCUUGCUGGAGUACUCGAGUGGCGAACGGGUGAGUAACACGUGGGUAAUCUGCCCUGCACUCUGGGAUAAGCCUGGGAAACUGGGUCUAAUACUGGAUAUGACCUUUCUACUUAUGGGGUUUGGUGGAAAGUUUUUCGGUGUAGGAUGAGCCCGCGGCUUAUCAGCUUGUUGGUGGGGUGAUGGCCUACCAAGGCGACGACGGGUAGCCGGCCUGAGAGGGUGAUCGGCCACAUUGGGACUGAGAUACGGCCCAGACUCCUACGGGAGGCAGCAGUGGGGAAUAUUGCACAAUGGGCGGAAGCCUGAUGCAGCGACGCCGCGUGAGGGAUGACGGCCUUCGGGUUGUAAACCUCUUUCAGCAGGGACGAAGCGUAAGUGACGGUACCUGCAGAAGAAGCACCGGCUAACUAUGUG
rnacentral:rRNA from 1 species